rnacentral:rRNA from 1 species
ACUCAAAGGAAUUGACGGGGGCCCGCACAAGCGGAGGAACAUGUGGUUUAAUUCGAUGAUACGCGAGGAACCUUACCUGGGCUUAAAUGUAGAGUGCAUGAGGUGGAAACACUUCUUUCCUUCGGGACUCUUUGCAAGGUGCUGCAUGGUUGUCGUCAGCUCGUGCCGUGAGGUGUCGGGUUAAGUCCCAUAACGAGCGCAACCCUCAUCAUCAGUUGCCAGCACGUAAUGGUGGGGACUCUGGUGAAACUGCCGGUGUAAACCGUGAGGAAGGUGGGGAUGACGUCAAAUCAGCACGGCCCUUAUGUCCAGGGCUACACACGUGUUACAAUGGCCAAUACAGUGGGCAGCCACCCGGCAACGGGGAGCUAAUCCAUAAAGUUGGUCUUAGUUCGGAUCGGAGUCUGCAACUCGACUCCGUGAAGCUGGAUUCGCUAGUAAUCGCAGAUCAGCCAUGCUGCGGUGAAUACGUUCCCGGGCCUUGUACACACCGCCCGU